GCCGAGCUAAGUAACAAGAGCAUGUAACCGAAGUGGGGGACAUGAAGGUGAUGGAACAACUUUGUGGCUCCCUAGUUGGAGUUAUGGAUGUUAAAAACUGGCUUGUCUAUUCCAAGUUGAGAGUUAGGUGGUGAGACUUAUACGAAGGCAUAGGUGUCAUCUACCUUAGACAAGAAGGAACUACGUGAGGCUGGUUUCACUAAGCAACAAUUACCUCUACCUCCCAAUAGUGGAGGGAUAACAAGCCUCCUUGCUCCAAAGAAUAACUCGGAUUGCCACCUUUGCUUAGACCAUCUCUUUU
rfam:Vigna angularis cultivar Jingnong 6 chromosome 8, whole genome shotgun sequence.